rnacentral:rRNA from 1 species
CCUACGGGUGGCAGCAGUGAGGAAUAUUGGUCAAUGGGCGAGAGCCUGAACCAGCCAAGUCGCGUGAAGGAUGAAGGAUCUAUGGUUUGUAAACUUCUUUUAUAUGGGAAUAAAGUGAGGAACGUGUUCCUUUUUGUAUGUACCCUAUGAAUAAGCAUCGGCUAACGCCGUGCCAGCAGCCGCGGUAAUCCGGAGGAUGCGAGCGUUAUCCGGAUUUAUUGGGUUUAAAGGGUGCGUAGGUGGUUAAGUAAGUCCGCGGUGAAAGGUUGUGGCUCAACCAUAAAAUUGCCGUUGAAACUGGUAGACUUGAGUAUAGGUGAGGUAGGCGGAAUGCGUGGUGUAGCGGUGAAAUGCAUAGAUAUCACGCAGAACUCCGAUUGCGAAGGCAGCUUACUAAACUAUAACUGACACUGAAGCACGAAGGCGUGGGGAUCAAACAGGAUUAGAUACCCGGGUAGUC